ACAGUUCCCGACAGACCACGACAAGGAUGACAGCGAGCAAAUGGAUGUAGCCGCAAGGCACCAGGGACCAUGGUGGUGGAGCUGGGAUUUCCAACGCCUUGGUCCCAGACUGGAGGACUCAGGUGGAGGAGUGAGGCCAAGAGAAGGGCCCUGUGACACAGAGGAAGUGGGCUGUGCGGGUGAGCGAGAGCAGAGAGCAGGGGAUCUGUUGUCAUGGGGAAGGAAGGUGCAAAGGGGGAUGGAGACAGCAUGGAAGGAGAGUUCUUGAAGACAUGGACGCUAAGGAGGGACAAGGUGGGAGGAGGGUGGGACUGGCAGGAGCACCCAGGAGGAGCGGAGGAGCCAGGUCUCAGGCAGGGCAGGAGAGGUAGGCUGAGACUGGGUGCAUUUGUGUCGAUGUGGGGAGGGGGGUGGGGGGAGAGAAGAGUGAGUGCUGAUGACAAAACUGCGGUGGUGACAGGAAGAAGUAGAAGAUUCAGAGGCGCAUGCUCCCCAGAGUAUAAUGAAAGGACAUGAAAGGAAUCAGGAAAAUUUAGGGGAGUCAGGGUUGUUGGGCCCUGGAAAGGACCCAUAGCCUGGGCCACUGGGAUGUGAGCGUGGAGAGCAGAGUGUGUGGAUUUGGUACAGUACGUGUGACGCAGAGAUGUCUGCAUCUGCUGGAGCAGUGGGUGUGGGGCCAGGUCAAGGAGGGAGGACACAUCUGAGAACAUGACUCAGGCAGUGGAGAAUCACAGAUGGUGCUGGGAGAAGGCAGGAUGGUGCAGGUGGGACAGUACCUCCCUAUGCAGUUCAGGAAGAAAGCAGGAGGAACGAGCAGCCUGGGCCCAGGAGCUGGGAGAGCAGAGGGUGAGUUGACAGUAUGUUGGAGAGCAGAAUAGAGGAGAAGUGUUCCCCAAUGGGCAGGAAGAAUGAAUUGGAGCAGGUUAUGGAGCCCAGCACCUUAGAGAGGUGAGCUUGUUGAGAGGAUCAGGGAAUGUGCUGCAGCAGCAGGGGCACGCCAAGGAGCAAGAGUGGGUGUGAAUGCAGAGAGUCCUCUUUUUUGCCCAAAAGGGGCAAAGUGUUUGAUGCAGGUCAUGGAGAAAGCAUGGUAUGGGUAAGACAAGGGAGGAGUGAAGAAGAGGUGAGAUGAGGCCACAGGAGCAGGGUGCAGAGGUCUUGGCACCUUGGGAACAUUGAGGGCAGUGUGUCAGUUAAGGGCAUGGUGAGAUGAUGAAAGGCCAGGGGACACAACAGAGAGACGAAACCACUGUUCCUUAGAGGCAGGACUGAGAAUGUAGUGACCACUGAGAAUACGGGAUGAUUAGGGGUGAACUGAGACAGCAGACAGACUCAGUACAGCAGGCUGAGGACACGGACGCUGGCAGUGGUGGCACUGGUUGGGGGCAUGGCAGGAAGGGGUCAGAGCUCAAGAAAUAUUCCUGAGUCUGUGGAUUGACUUGGAGGCGGCAGGGCACCGGCACUGGAUGUUGAAGAUGAGGUGGAGUGCGUUUGGGAGAUGACCGUGGAGGAAACCGUGGAUGGGUGGUGUAGGAUUUACAUGUGAACCUUGUGUGGAAAAAGUGAGAUAUUGAAGUGGGGCAGCCUUGCAGAGGUGGUGUGAUACAAGUGGGGUCCUGGAAGCUCAUGGGAAAAGAAAGAUUUGUGGUGCAUGAGGGGAAAGAAGAUCAUGAGCCCGUGGGGAGCUUACUGCCCAUACAGGGUCAGAUGCAGAAAAGGGGAAGGAGGAAAUCAGAGUUCCCCAGAUGGGGCUUUAUCAGAUCUCAGGGAAGUUGGUGCCAUGCCUCUUACCAAGGCCAGCCCAUAGGACUAGGGCAGGGUGGAAAAAUCCCAGGCUUUUCAGAAGUGGAUCCUUAGGAGAAAGUAGGGAAAAAGCGCCUAAGUCGCUCAGGGUAAAUGGAGGAAACGGGGCAUCACUGCACAUUCAGGCAGCACGUGCAUGACAGGUAACCUUGGGGCUUGGGAUGGUCUCAUAUGUUUUGAGUCCAUUAUGUUGGCAGAAAGAUGCUUGCAAGUGUUAGAAAGAACUAAUGGAGAGGAGACAAUUCCCAGUGACCACUGCGUCUGAGCUUUUGUUGUCAAGGGAGCCUGAGAGGAUGGAGGAGGUGUAGCUUGCAACUGAAAAUACGCACUACACCACACUUCACCACAGAGGCGCAUGAAGUAGAAGAAGGGGCCUUCAAACAUAGGUAGCAUCUUAGAUUUAGUGGGAGAUUAGGUCAGUAGUAAAUGGGCACAUCGGAAGGCAGUAUGCCCAGAGGUUGGAGAGGAUGAAGGUUUGGGUGCUGACACAGGUGCUUCAUUUUUGGAGACUUUUUCAGAAGGCAGAGAGGAAGAAAGGAAGGACAGGAUGAAUGGCAGGACCUGUGUAAAAAGAAGGUCUUAAAUUCUAAACAAGGGUGUAGUAAAGGCAGUGUGGCCAAGAGGGAAAGAAGAAAUGGUGGAUCCAGAUGGCUUCAAUGGGUAGUGCAAGAUCAGGAUGACGGGCAGGGGUGCAUCAGCUCAUGGGGGCCCUAUCAGAGGUAAAUGGAAAUAAUGGAGGUGAGGAAAGGAGGAAGUGGCAGGAUUGGCUGGAGAGUUUUGUAGGAACUCACUUCAUGGAAGAGAAAGAGAAAAGAGGAAACAAGGCUAAAGUGGAAGAGGGGAAGGAAAAGGCAGCUUAAGGAAGGCAUUGGCCUUGCCUUAGGAAGUGGAUGAGUGAAGAUCUGGAGGAACAACAGAAAACAGUGUUGAAGAGAAGCUGGGAUAGGGAGAGGAUGGAAAAGUUUGAGUGGUGAGAGCAGGUCAAAGCAGUUGAGCGCAUCCCUAGAGAAGAGAUGACCGAGUCGGAUGAAGCAACAGGACCUGGGUGGUUGAGAGAAAUAUAGACCACAGACAGGCAGGUGCCUUCCCUUGGCCAAGGAAGCAAAGAGACGAAAUGUGUCACAAGGGGAAAGCCUGCAAAAAAGAAUGUGGAAGUGGGACGAUGAGGCAGCGCAACUGGGGAGUCACCUACAGAAGACAGACAGGGUGGAGGGUCCCCCAGGGAAGGAUGGAGGGCAGAGAGUGUGGUGGAAGGGAGCCGGGCAGGACAGCCACGGGCAGGACAGCUACAGGCAGGACAGCCACGGGUGGAGCCAGGUGAAGGGGGAGGUCCCAGAGUAGGAACAAAGGAACCUAGAGUGCUCAGGGCACGCCGCAAGGUUUGGCAUGGGGAAGGGGAGGCAUAAAAGGGGUGGACAGCAAUGGGCAGGAAGGAACGGCUGCUCUUAAAGCCUUGAACUUUAUUGCAAAGGUGCAAAUCUUGGGCCAGGCUAUUUACUAUGGAUCUGGUGGGGAAGGGUUGUUUGGUGGGGAUGGAGUAUGGGGUAGUGUCUGGGUUGGGGUUGACUGGGUUGGAAAGGAGGGAAGGACUGGGAGCAGUGGGGUAUGAGUGGGAGAGGAAGUUGGGAACCAGAUGGGGAGAACCAAGUCAAAUUCUGGGUUGGAAAAAAACCUUAUUUAACUGAGCUAGUGGGUUACAUGUCUAAUGCUGACGGUGAUGAAUACAGGCUGGGGAAGACUUCUGAAUCCACCAAAAGAAGUAAAUGAUAGUGGUUUCUUGUAGGUCAAAAGGUCAAGGUAAAUGGUUGGUUUUUAGGACACAACUGUGAACUUGGGAAGCAAAGGGGGAAGUUUCUGCAGGACUGUCUUGUCAGGGAUCUGAAAAAAGGAGGCGGGAUUAAGGAAAACUGACAAUAGUAAGCACCCAUAAUAAACAGGUUGAGACCGAAGAUAUUGACACAGUGCCUGAGAGUCCUAUCAGGUGGGAGGACAAGAAGUAUGGGGUGGGGAACAAGUCUCCAAUGCACACUGGUGUUUGGGGUCAGAGGUGUGUUAAAGGGCAAAUAGGGAAGGAAUGAAGUGGUUCCAAGUAGAGACUGCCAGGCCUAAUGGGGGUGGGGAGGCAAAAGAGAUGUUUGAGUGGGAAGUUUCAUGGCAGGAAUUAGAAUGGUCUGGGUGUGAAACGAGGGAGUGAGGCCUAGGCAGUCAAGGUGGCCGUCCACAGCAGUGAUUCUUAUCUGGGGUGGGGGGUGGUUUUCACCUGGAGGGAGGGCUGGGGGUAUGGACCCCCAGGCAGGCCUAUCCAAUCAUCUGAGGGGUGUUGAGCUCAGAAAAAGUAAGGGGGAAAAGCAGUCUCUAAAAGGAACACAGACAAUAGCAAAGGAAGGAACUGAGCCCAAAAGAUGAUUCUGAUAGGCUGCCUUGGGGUCCUGCAUCCUCAGGUGAGAAUCACUGGUGGACAUGGGAGGAGGGAGGGCUGGGCAGAGAUGUGAAGUAUGAGGGGAAGAGGCACAUGUGGCAGGGCUGAGGGAGGCAUCAGGUUCAAGACUGUCAGGUAUGGGAACACAGUUCCCAACAGACCACAAGGAUGACAGCAAGCAAAUGGAUGUAGCCGCAAGGCACCAGGGACCAUGGUGGUGGAGCUGGGAUUUCCAACGCCUUGGUCCCAGACUGGAGGACUCAGGUGGAGGAGUGAGGCCAAGAGAAGGGCCCUGUGACACAGAGGAAGUAGGCUGUGCGGGUGAGAGCAGAGAGCAGGGGAUCUGUUGUCACGGGGAAGGAAGGCGCAAAGGGGGAUGGAGACAGCGUGGAAGGAGAGUGUCUUGAAGACAUGGGCACUAAGGAGGGACAAGGCGGGAGGAGGGUGGGACUGGCAGGAGCACCCAGGAGGAGUGGAGAGUUGGGUCUCAGGCAGGGCAGGAGAGGCAGGCUGAGACUGGGUGCAUUUCUAUGGGGAGGAUGAGGGUGGGCAGGUGGAGAGGAGAUAGGAGUGAGUGCUGAUGACAAAACUGCUGCGGUGACAGGAAGAAGGUAGGAGAUUCAGAGGUGCAUGCUCCCCAGAGCGUUUUCACACAGUGUGAACAAAAGGACGUGAAAGGAAUCAGGAAAGUUUAGGGGAGUCAGGAUUGUGGGGCCCUGGAAAGAACACAUAGCCUGGGCCACUGGGACAUGGGCACAGAUAGCUGGGCAGAGCUUGUGGAUUCGGUAUGGUACGAGUGACGCAGAGAUGUCUGCAUCUGCUGGAGCAGUGGGUGCGGGGCCAGGUCAAGAAGGGAGGACGCACCUGAGAACAUGACUCAGGCAGUGAGAGAAUCACAGAUGGUGCUGGGAGAAGGCAGGAUGGUGCAGGUGGGACAGUACCGUGCUGUGCAGCAGAGGAGGAAAGCAGGAGGAACGAGCAGCCUGGGCCCAGGAGCUGGGAGAGCAGAGGGUGAGUUGACAGUAUGUUGGAGAGCAGAAUAGAGGAGAAGUGUUCCCCAACGGGCAGGAAGAAUGAAUUGGAGCAGGUUAUGGAGCCCAGCACCUUUGAGAGGUGAGCUUGUUGAGAGGAUCAGGGAAUGUGCUGCAGCAGCAGGGGCACGCCAAGGAGCAAGAGUGGGUGUGAAUGCAGAGAGUCCUCUUUUUUGCCCAAAAGGGGCAAAGUGUUUGAUGCAGGUCAUGGAGAAAGCAUGGUGUGGGUAAGACAAGGGAGGAAUGAAGGAGAGGUUAGAGGAGGCCACAGGAGCAAGGGGUAGAUGUGUUGGCACCUUGGAAACAUUGAGGACAGUGUGUCAGUAAAGGGCAUGGCAAGAUGAUGAAAGGCCAGGGGACACAACAGAGGGAGGAAACCACUGUUCCUUAGAGGCAGAACUGAGAAUACAGGAUGGCUAGGAGUGAAGUGAUACAGCAGAUGGAUCAGUACAGCAGGUCGAGGACGUGGAUGCUGACAGUAAUGGCAUCGGUGAGGGCAGGGAAGGAAGGGGUCAGAGCUCCAGAAAGAUUAUUGAGUCUGUGGACUGACUUGGAGGUGGCAGGGCACAUAGGACUGGAUGUUGAAGAUGAAAAGGAGUGUCUAGAAGAUGACCAUGGGAGGCAACACUGUGUGUAGACUGCAAAGUUUCCAUCCGCAUGUAGUGAGAGAGAAGCUGAAGUCCGGCAGCCAUUGGAAGGCAGUUUUUGGAAUGCAAAUUGGAUGAUGGAAGUUUAUGGCAAAAGAAAGGACAGGAGGCAGGUAAGAGGGGAGAUAACUUUAUGAAUUUGUGCAGGGCUAAGCAUCGGUAAAAAGGGCUGACAUGAAAUAGGGGAAGGUGGAAUGCAGAGUUCCCAAACUGGGGGCGCUGGCAAAUCUCAGGGGCACGUCAGUCGUAUGUUCGGGGUAACAACAUUUAACCUCUCGUAGUAACUACUUCAUUGAGUGGGAAAACAGAAAAAGAAAAAACUUUGUGGAGGGUGAUGGUAAAGCAACCCCAACCGAUAUGGAAGGCAGUGUUAGCCAACUGAUAUGGAGGGCAGUGUUGGUAAUCACUGGAAGUCAAGAUUUUGAAAGCAAAAGAUUAACAAUGUAAAAUUUGCAAGUGUGGGGGUUACACAUAGGUUAUUAUGUGUUUAAUGUGAUCUCCAGCAAAAUUAGCAGAGGCCAAAAUAAAACGAAGUAUUAGUCUAUUUAACAAGAUUGGAAUUAAGGGGACAGUAUACAGGUUAUAUCAAUUUGGGAAUUAUUUAGGAAUGUUAAGAGUUGGUAAGGUGGGUAUUGUUGUCCCUUGAUCCAAAGUAUAGAAUAAUGGCAAAGAAGAAAAGUAUAAUAGAAAGUCCUUGUCAUUAGGGAAUUUGGUGGCUGCCUUAAAACUCCUUCAGGGAAACACUUCAUGAAUGCUUAGAGUCAGGAGAAUAAACGGUCCCAUAUAGAGAUAGAUUUAUGAAGCCAAGUCUGAAGGAAGAGCUUCAUUAGCAAUCCCCAGAAUGUCAGUUCUACUAGCCAAGGAUGCAGGUGAGUAUGUUGGAUACCAAGAGAACAGAAAGGAAGUGUUCUGAACACUGGAGGUGGGUCAAGGAGGAAGCUUAUACAUAUUCACAUGUGAAUCGAUUUCAAGGAUGGAUGAACAAAGACUGGGUGGUACUAAUAUGGCAGGUUUUUUUUUCCCCUGAGGCAAAAGGCAGAAAUGAGUGGGUAUACCAUGAUUAAAUUGCAUACUGUAGAGAUGGGAUUAUUUAAGUAAAGUCAGCAAUAAAAAUUAUAGAUACUGAGGACGAUGGGGUAGAAAAGAGAUAUCAAAUAGGUAGGAAGAUGGCUUGAAAGGGAAUAGGAGAAAUUUCAGUGAGUCUGAGGAAUGGUAGACUGGGAAUAAGACAAGUAAGUGGGUGAAUAAGGAGGUCUCAGACUGAGAAUCCUGGCAUAUCUACCAAUGGGUCAGAUUGUAGGAAUACUGAUUUUAAAGUCAGGCUGAGGCCAAUUCUAGUGAUAAAGGAAGGGGGAAGGGUGGCUGAAUCGUAAUGUUCAAUCCCCCUUUUUUAGUAUUUGAGUUAAAAUUCAGAUUAAAUGCUUGGCUUAGAAGAAUGCAAAGUUUCCUCAUUAAUAUGGAUCCCAGUGAGUGAGUGGAGGUGAGUUAAAGAACUCUGAGGCAAAUCUUACUUAAGUGAAGUUGUGUUUUUAGUAUAGAAUGCUGAGUUAAUAUGGUUAAUACUGAACAAAAAAUAAUGGAAGGGAGACUACAGAUUCAGAGAAGAGCUAUGAGUCUAUCAGAUUGUAUGGUAGCUUACGAUGGCACUUUAAGGAAGUGUAGGCAGAAAGUCAAGAAAUUGAAAUAAUUAUGAAUAAGUCUAUGGCAGGUACUAUUUCUAAUGGAAAUCAGAAAAUAAACUCACAUACAUGUACUAUUACAGCUGAUCUUAGUAUGAAUAUUUUCUAUUAAAGAUUGUUUUAAAAUAAGUUGUUUACAUUUGUCGAAAUGGUUCCAGAUGAUGAGAAAUAUGAUGCAAUAAAACCUGAUAAAUAAAAGCAAUACAAAGAUUAGAAGGGUUCCAAAUAGGUAGUGGAAUAAAAAGUUAAAUUGGUAGUGGCAUUAAACAGGUCCAACAUGUGGAACAAUCGGUAGAAUGUUGUGUAUAUAACACAUAUUGUUACUGGUGCAAUAAAUAUUCAGGAGAAACAAAGCUGCUGACAGACAAUGAAUGCUUGGAAGGAAUCUUGCCUUAAAGGCUUUUCUAAAACUUUUUGGGUAAAGGACAAAUUCUUGAAGGAUGAAAGAUAAUAAGUAGGACUAAUUACAGAGAGACUCAUGAUGCCCAUAGUCUUUCAAGAAAUUGCUUUUAAGAGAAGGUGUUAUGGUAAUAUAUUGAUGUUGGGUUAACGCAAAUUUUUCAGAUAGGGUAGAUUUUUAUAUAUUUAUAGAGUAAAGGGGAGGAGGAAAGAUUAAACGUAGAUUGAAGAAAGGAAUAAUUGAUGGAAAAACUUUCUGGAAGAGAUUAAGGAUAUGUGUUUUUUGAACUCUUGGGAAGACUUGAUUCUAGAGAGGAUAAAGGGAAAAAGUGGAUAGUUCUAGAAUUAAACACCAAAAGGUUCUAUGUGUCUGGAACCAUGUAAAGCAAAUUACCUAUUAUUUCAUUUCAUUUCAUUUCAUCUUAUAAAAAUCCUAAGAGAUCAAAUAAUUUGUCCAAGAUUACACAGUCAGUAUAUAGCAGGGUCAGAAUUCAAAUCCUCUUCUAUCAAACCUAUAUUCCUUUCUAUUAUGAUAUGCUCCUUUCAAGUUGAAGGAAAUCAAAAAUCAAGAAUUUGCUUUGUCAUUGUGAUUAUAAGGGAAAAUAUUAUUUUUCUGAAAUGAGACACACUGAUGUUUAAGACCUUAAGGUGAUAAGUAAAAUUUGGAAUAUCUGUGAUGGGAAAAUGCAAAAAAGGAGGGAAUGGAUAAAAGAUAUCUAUUACCAUCUAUGGCCUGGUAUUUCACUUCUUUCAUUGUAUAACAUGAUUUUAGAUUGGUCAUGGAUGAAAAAUUUGAGAAUUCUGACAAAAACUAAAUAGAAAGGAGUUUUUAAGCAGGUAUAUGAUGGGUCAAAUAUAACUUACUACUAACAAAACAAACAAUUCCCUAUAUGCCAAACUUGUAUAAACAAAAAUCAAACAAACUAUCAAGCAAAAGAGUCCAUAGCCAGCAGACCAAAUGUUGAAAUAUCUGGGCUAAUUUGUAAGAUCUAUGUUUUAAAACUCCUUAGUGAAGAGGGGCGAGAAAACCUCUCUCCUCUUUUUCCUCUCUUGGUGGAAAUGUUUUCUUGUUGUUGGUUUUUUCCUAUACUAUAUAUGUAAUUUCUAUAUUGUUUUGUGUAUUUUGGUAUUAUAAAAUUGUACUUCUUAGAUUCUGUUAAUAAUGCUUACUGGGGUGUGAGGCACCUGCAUUAUCAGUAAAUUGAACCUGGAGAAGUGGGAGGAGCUAGUAUUCUCAAUUGGCAAGGGAUUGAUUCUUCGAUGGGUUCAGCAUUUCACUUUCCUCUGAAAUUAAGUGGGAAAGUAAUAGCAUCCCUUAAAAAGCAGAACAUUGGUGAGAGGUAGAAUAGCAGGAGGAAUUUUGAAACAUGGAGAGAUGGCUACUGGAAAAAAACCAAUGAAGUGCAGAGUCUCCCAAGAUGAUGGUAGAAGCCACAGGACUACAUUAAGAUUGGGCCCAAAUACUAGUUUAGAAGAGGGUAAAUAAAACUAGCUUUACUUAAGAGUACAGCCAGCUUAAUUACUGGCUAGUGGACAUAUUUCAGACAAAUCUAACUGAAGAGAAAAACAGACCAGGAGAGAAAGCCAAGUUAUAAGGAAAUAGAGAAACCUCACAAAGGGAUAAAGGAGGUAAUUAAAGGUUAAAGCCAGAUAGCCUAGAGCUCAAAGGAGAAAUCCUGGAGGCCAGAUAGGAAAGUGCCUUCCUACUCAGGGGGUUAGGGAUCCAGGGUGGCUGGAGAAUAGAAGUAGAGUUCUGCCCAGGGCCAGAGGGAAAAACCUGGGAUUCAGACACAGCAGUGGUGCCAACUUGAAUCUACCUCGUGCUAGAGUCUGAGUAGCCUGGUCUAUCACCCAACACAGAUAACACUGGACAGGGGCUCCCAGGAAGCAACAUCUAAGAAGGGAGUUUGGAGAGGGGCUAAAAGAAAGCAGGUUAAGCCCCAAAUGUAACGGAAUGAUGACCAGGGAUAACUAUUUACUAGUGCUUUUAUGAUUUCUUGUAACUCUGUAACUUCCCCAGUAUUUGUUAAUUUUUUUGACUUCUGUUUUUCCUGUACUUAUGUGUAGUAAAAGUUUUCAAAACAUAAA